UGAGUAAUAUGUCGGAACGUGCCCAAUUGAGGGGGAUAGCUCGGCGAAAGCCGGAUUAAUACCGCAUAAUAUCUAGGGAUGAAAGCAGGGGAUUUUCGGACCUUGCGCAAAUGGAGCGGCCGAUAUCAGAUUAGGUAGUUGGUGGGGUAAAGGCUUACCAAGCCUGCGAUCUGUAGCUGGUCUGAGAGGACGAUCAGUCACACUGGGACUGAGACACGGCCCAGACUCCUACGGGAGGCAGCAGUGGGGAAUUUUGGACAAUGGGGGCAACCCUGAUCCAGCAAUGCCGCGUGCAGGAAGAAGGCCUUCGGGUUGUAAACUGCUUUUGUACGGGACGAAAAGUCUAAUGAUAAUACCAUUGGAUGAUGACGGUACCGUAAGAAUAAGCACCGGCUAACUACGUGCCAGCAGCCGCGGUAAUACGUAGGGUGCAAGCGUUAAUCGGAAUUACUGGGCGUAAAGCGUGCGCAGGCGGUUUUAUAAGACAGGUGUGAAAUCCCAGGGCUUAACCUUGGAAUUGCACUUGUGACUGUAAGACUGGAGUACGGCAGAGGGGGGUAGAGUUUCGCGUGUAGCAGUGAAAUGCGUAGAUAUGCGGAGGAACACCGAUGGCGAAGGCAGCCCCCUGGGCCUGUACUGACGCUCAUGCACGAAAGCGUGGGGAGCAAACAGGAUUAGAUACGAAGCUAACGCGUGAAGUUGACCGCCU
rnacentral:rRNA from 1 species